rnacentral:rRNA from 1 species
AGGGUUCGAUUCUGGCUCAGGAUGAACGCUGGCGGCGUGCUUAACACAUGCAAGUCGAACGGGAUCCAUCAGGCUUUGCUUGGUGGUGAGAGUGGCGAACGGGUGAGUAAUGCGUGACCGACCUGCCCCAUACACCGGAAUAGCUCCUGGAAACGGGUGGUAAUGCCGGAUGCUCCAGUUGGAUGCAUGUCCUUCUGGGAAAGAUUCAUCGGUAUGGGAUGGGGUCGCGUCCUAUCAGCUUGAUGGCGGGGUAACGGCCCACCAUGGCUUCGACGGGUAGCCGGCCUGAGAGGGCGACCGGCCACAUUGGGACUGAGAUACGGCCCAGACUCCUACGGGAGGCAGCAGUGGGGAAUAUUGCACAAUGGGCGCAAGCCUGAUGCAGCGACGCCGCGUGAGGGAUGGAGGCCUUCGGGUUGUAAACCUCUUUUAUCGGGGAGCAAGCGAGAGUGAGUUUACCCGUUGAAUAAGCACCGGCUAACUACGUGCCAGCAGCCGCGGUAAUACGUAGGGUGCAAGCGUUAAUCGGAAUUACUGGGCGUAAAGCGUGCGCAGGCGGUUCUGUAAGAUAGAUGUGAAAUCCCCGGGCUCAACCUGGGAAUUGCAUAUAUGACUGCAGGACUUGAGUUUGUCAGAGGAGGGUGGAAUUCCACGUGUAGCAGUGAAAUGCGUAGAUAUGUGGAAGAACACCGAUGGCGAAGGCAGCCCUCUGGGACAUGACUGACGCUCAUGCACGAAAGCGUGGGGAGCAAACAGGAUUAGAUACCCUGGUAGUCCACGCCCUAAACGAUGUCUACUAGUUGUUGGGGACGAUAGUCCUUGGUAACGCAGCUAACGCGUGAAGUAGACCGCCUGGGGAGUACGGUCGCAAGAUUAAAACUCAAAGGAAUUGACGGGGACCCGCACAAGCGGUGGAGCAUGUGGUUUAAUUCGA